UACGUAGGGUGCAAGCGUUGUCCGGAUUUAUUGGGCGUAAAGAGCUUGUAGGCGGCUCGUCGCGUCGGGUGUGAAAACUUGCGGCUUAACCGCAAGCCUGCACCCGAUACGGGCGGGCUAGAGUUCGGCAGGGGAGACUGGAAUUCCUGGUGUAGCGGUGGAAUGCGCAGAUAUCAGGAGGAACACCGGUGGCGAAGGCGGGUCUCUGGGCCGAUACUGACGCUGAGAAGCGAAAGCGUGGGGAGCGAACAGG
rnacentral:rRNA from 1 species